UACGAAGGGGGGCUAGCGUUGCUCGGAAUCACUGGGCGUAAAGCGCACGUAGGCGGGCUCUUAAGUCGGUGGUGAAAUCCUGGAGCUCAACUCCAGAACUGCCUCCGAUACUGAGAGUCUUCGAGUUCGGGAGAGGUGAGUGGAACUGCGAGUGUAGAGGUGAAAUUCGUAGAUAUUCGCAAGAACACCAGUGGCGAAGGCGGCUCACUGGCCCGAUACUGACGCUGAGGUGCGAAAGCGUGGGGAGCAAACAGG
rnacentral:rRNA from 1 species